AAGCCCUUGGUUGGGGAUGG
rnacentral:siRNA from 1 species